rnacentral:rRNA from 1 species
CCCCGGGUUCGGUAGUUGAACCUGCGGAAGGAUCAUUACCGAGUGAGGGCCCUCUGGGUCCAACCUCCCACCCGUGUUUAUUUUACCUUGUUGCUUCGGCGGGCCCGCCUUAACUGGCCGCCGGGGGGCUUACGCCCCCGGGCCCGCGCCCGCCGAAGACACCCUCGAACUCUGUCUGAAGAUUGAAGUCUGAGUGAAAAUAUAAAUUAUUUAAAACUUUCAACAACGGAUCUCUUGGUUCCGGCAUCGAUGAAGAACGCAGCGAAAUGCGAUACGUAAUGUGAAUUGCAAAUUCAGUGAAUCAUCGAGUCUUUGAACGCACAUUGCGCCCCCUGGUAUUCCGGGGGGCAUGCCUGUCCGAGCGUCAUUGCUGCCCUCAAGCCCGGCUUGUGUGUUGGGCCCCGUCCCCCGAUCUCCGGGGGACGGGCCCGAAAGGCAGCGGCGGCACCGCGUCCGGUCCUCGAGCGUAUGGGGCUUUGUCACCCGCUCUGUAGGCCCGGCCGGCGCUUGCCGAUCAACCCAAAUUUUUUCCAGGUGACCUCGAUCAAGGUAGGAUGCCAGUUCC